CCGUUGGUGGGUGGGAUGUUGGUAAAACCCACUCCAAAGGGACAGUCAGAGCCAAGACUGACUGCCCCAUAUCUCCCUAUAUCCACCCCACAGCCCCCUGUAGCCUCAUAUCCCCCUAUAAUGCCCCUAUGGCUCACCCACUGCCCCCUAUAGACGUAUCCCCCUAUGGCAUGGGGUCACUUAUCCUAAUUAAACUCAUUAAUUCCAGUUUGCACUCGAUGCUCCUACACACCAAUAAUGGCAGUGCAGGGAACCCCAAAGCUCAUCACCCUUACUGGGGUCGGGAGGGGGAUUGGGGUCAGCAGUGAGAGAUGGGAGGAAGGGGUGGGAUGGGAGAGUUGGGCAGAGCUGAGUGGGGUUAGAACUUAGGGCGAGCAGAAUUGGUUGGGGUGAGGGCUUAGGGUGAGCAGUGCUGGGUGGGACGAAGGUUUAGGAUCACCAGUGAUCCUACAAUCCUAAAGCCCAAAGUGAGGUGAGCAUUUAUGGUUGGGGUGAGGGCUUAGGGUGAGUGGUGCUGGCUGGGGUGAGGAUUUAGGGUUGGCCAGUGCUGUUUGGGAUGCAGGUUUAGGGUCAGCAGUGUCAGUUGAAAUGAGGAUUUAGGUUUGGGCGGUGCCAGCUGGGAUGAAGGCUGAAGGGUGAGCAGUGCUGGCUGGGAUGAGGAUUUGGGGUUGGUCAGUGCUGCAG